UGGGGAAUUUUGCACAAUGGGGGAAACCCUGAUGCAGCGACGCCGCGUGAUUUAGAAGGCCUUCGGGUUGUAAAAUCUUUUCUAUGGGAAGAAAAUGACAGUACCAUAGGAAUAAGGACCGGCUAAUUACGUGCCAGCAGCCGCGGUAAUACGUAAGGUCCGAGCGUUGUCCGGAAUCAUUGGGCGUAAAGGGUACGUAGGCGGGUAAGCAAGUUAGAAGUGAAAUCCUAUAGCUCAACUAUAGUAAGCUUUUAAAACUGCUCAUCUUGAGGUAUGGAAGGGAAAGUGGAAUUCCUAGUGUAGCGGUGAAAUGCGCAGAUAUUAGGAGGAAUACCGGUGGCGAAGGCGACUUUCUGGCCAUAACCUGACGCUGAGGUACGAAAGCGUGGGUAGCAAACAGG
rnacentral:rRNA from 1 species